rnacentral:rRNA from 1 species
CCUACGGGAGGCAGCAGUGAGGAAUAUUGGUCAAUGGCCGGAAGGCUGAACCAGCCAUGCCGCGUGAAGGUCAGUGCCCUAUGGGCGUUAAACUUCUUUUGUGCGGGAGCAAUAAUGGUCACGUGUGGCCAGACGAUAGUACCGUACGAAUAAGCAUCGGCUAACUCCGUGCCAGCAGCGGCGGUAAUACGGGGGAUGCAAGCGUUAUCCGGAUUUAUUGGGUUUAAAGGGUGCGUAGGCUGUGAGGUAAGUCAGCGGUGAAAUGCCCCCGCUCAACGGGGUGAAGGGCCAUUGAUACUGCCUUGCUGGAAUGCGGAUGCCGUGGGAGGAAUGUGUGUUGUAGCGGUGAAAUGCAUCGAUAUCACACAGAACACCGAUUGCGAAGGCAUCUCACGAAGCCGCGAUUGACGCUAAUGCACGAAAGCGUGGGUAUCAAACAGGAUUAGAUACCCCAGUAGUC